GACGAACUGCCCAAACGUUGUUCGGAAUCACUGGGCUUAAAGGGCGCGUAGGCGGCAAGUCAAGUCAGGGGUGAAAUCCGGCAGCUUAACUGUCGAAGUGCCUUUGAUACUGAUUUGCUCGAGGGAGGUAGGGGUGUGUGGAACUUCUGGUGGAGCGGUGAAAUGCGUUGAUAUCAGAAGGAACGCCGGUGGCGAAAGCGACGCACUGGACCUCUUCUGACGCUGAGGCGCGAAAGCUAGGGGAGCAAACGGG
rnacentral:rRNA from 1 species